GCAUCCUUAGCUCAACCGGAUAGAGUAGCGGACUUCGAAUUCGUUGGUUGUGGGUUCGAGUCCCGCAGGGUGCA
rnacentral:tRNA from 1 species